rnacentral:rRNA from 1 species
UACGAAGGGGGCUAGCGUUGUUCGGAAUUACUGGGCGUAAAGCGCACGUAGGCGGAUAUUUAAGUCAGGGCUGAAAUCCCGGGGCUCAACCCCGGAACUGCCUUUGAUACUGGGUAUCUCGAGUCCGAGAGAGGUGAGUGGAAUUCCGAGUGUAGAGGUGAAAUUCGUAGAUAUUCGGAGGAACACCAGUGGCGAAGGCGGCUCACUGGCUCGGUACUGACGCUGAGGUGCGAAAGCGUGGGGAGCAAACAGG